rnacentral:misc_RNA from 1 species
UUAAGUUCAGCGGGUCUUCCUACCUGAUUUGAGGUCAAGUUUCGAUGAAUUGUCCUGUUCGGACGGUUUGAAGCACAUCCCACAAGAAGCGGGUACAGCACACGGCGUAGAUAAUUAUCACACCGAGGGUACAUCCGCAACGAGACGCACUAAUGCAUUUGAGAGGAGCCGGAACAAAGCCGGCAAAGCCUCCAAGUCCA